rnacentral:misc_RNA from 1 species
CUUUUCUUUGUUUCAUAUUUGACAAAAUCUUCAAAUACUUUCACACCUGGAAAAAGAUUAAAAGAAUUAAGAAAAAAAAGCUUCAUUAUUUGAAUGGAAAUCACUUCUUUUUCUUCUUCAUUUCCAUCACAAGAAGAUUUCAAUUCUCUAAACUUUUUUCAAGAACUCGACUUUCUUUCUCCAUCUUCUGAUCAUCAUCAUCAUCAAUCCAUGUCGAAAAAGAUAAAAAUUAACGAUUUUGAUCACAACCCAGUUGAGGAAAUCCUAAAUAAAUUUCUGGGUGUCGAAAACGAAACGCACCCAGAAUCAAAAUCAGUUGAAAAUCACACCCUUUUUGAUUACAAGAACCAAAAAUUUGAUUUUGAUCAUGGUGUUGUCUCUGGCACUAAACGUGUUCGUGAAAAUGCCAAUGAGAAUGAAGAUGGUCUAGUUGAGGUUAUCUCUGGUUCUGGCUCUGGUUCUGGUUAUUCUCAGCAGCCAUUACAGCAGAGGAGGUUAUGGGUGAAAAACAGAUCAAAUGCGUGGUGGGAGCAAUGUAACCGUCCUGAUUUCCCUGAAGAGGAAUUUAAGAAAGCAUUUCAUAUGGGCAAAGCUACGUUUGAUUUUAUAUGUUCUGAAUUAGAAUCAGUAGUGACAAAAAAGGACACGAUGUUACGUAUGGCGAUACCUGUUCGUCAACGUGUAGCUGUAUGCAUUUGGAGAUUGGCUACAGGA